GGCGGGUUAACUUAAAAAGUAAAGUACCUAGUUUGUUUCUAGGAGAUGUAGGUUCAAGCCCUACAUCCGCCA
rnacentral:tRNA from 1 species